AAGUCGUAACAAGGUUUCCGUAGGUGAACCUGCGGAAGGAUCAUCAUUGAAUCCAAUUAUUUACACACCCUUGUGAACCUGAUGACCUGUUGUUUCUGUUGCUCUGCAGCAUUGAUAGCGGUCGUCAAAAUUAUAUGUUAUCGGAAUCUCUCUCAAUUCUUUCGCCUUGUGCGGAGGUAUUGUUAAAGAGGAUAAUGACUUGCUUGUUGUGGUUGCUGUGAAGAUUGCUACGUUUGUAGCGUCAGCAGCAGCAAUCACAUCAAGUAUCAAGUCAUUUUCUCGGAGACAACGAGAGAGAUCCGUUAAGCAAAUAAAAACACUUUAAAAAAUCAUACUAAACACAAUUUUAUUGUAAUAAUAAAUAAAACAACUUUCAACAAUGGAUCUCUUGGCUCUC
rnacentral:misc_RNA from 1 species